GAAAGGUGAAAAGUACCCCGGGAGGGGAGUGAAAUAGUACCUGAAACCGUUUGCUUACAAACCGUUGGAGCCUCCUUAGUAGGGGUGACAGCGUGCCUUUUGAAGAAUGAGCCUGCGAGUUAGCGAUACGUGGCGAGGUUAACCCGAGUGGGGUAGCCGUAGCGAAAGCGAGUCUGAAUAGGGCGAUUCAGUCGCGUGUCCUAGACCCGAAGCGAAGUGAUCUAUCCAUGGCCAGGUUGAAGCGACGGUAAGAC
rnacentral:rRNA from 1 species